rnacentral:rRNA from 1 species
UACGUAGGGUGCGAGCGUUGUCCGGAAUUACUGGGCGUAAAGAGCUCGUAGGUGGUUUGUCGCGUUGUCCGUGAAAACUCACAGCUUAACUGUGGGCGUGCGGGCGAUACGGGCAGACUGGAGUACUGCAGGGGAGACUGGAAUUCCUGGUGUAGCGGUGGAAUGCGCAGAUAUCAGGAGGAACACCGGUGGCGAAGGCGGUUCUCUGGGCCUUACCUGACGCUGAGGAGCGAAAGCGUGGGGAGCAAACAGG